CUUGUUUCAUAUUGUAUUGUAUCAAUCAUUUUGAUUCAGUCUGCAGCUAAUGCUUGAGUUACAUGAAUAAUUGAUCUAAUACUAUGUGUUUUUUUACCUUUUAAUUUUUGUAUGUUGUGCUAGAAAAUAAGAUUUAAAUAUUAGGGCUGUUUGUUUGAGAAAAUAGGAACUUCAUUGAGAUCAGAAUAGCAUGAAAGUGAGAAAUGUGUUAGUAGUUAGCAUUGAGGAAUGGUCUAAAAGAGCUUCUUUCAGCCCACUCAUGGCUGAGAUUUGGGGUUGAACUAGCUGCCGACUCAUUCGUUUAACCAUUCCGUAGAAUGCAAGGACCUUGUGCUACUGUGGUUGAGUGAAUGAUGCGGGAGAUAGUUUCACGUCCCUCUCCGUCUAUGCUUGGACUGAAGGGAGCUCCUCUUGCUGUUCCCUUCAUCUUGUUUCGAUAGGAUAUCGCCUUGUUUCAAUGUCAUAUCUAGUGUUUUAUAACUUGAAGUCAUGUUAUCUUCGUUGUUUGCAGCGUUCGUCAACAAGUCUAUUAUAAAUUUUGUUGUUGUUGUUGCUGUUAAUUUGUAGAUAAAAUGGUUAUAAAUUUCUGUGAAUUGAUUGGAAUCUCUGUUUGAUUCCCUCUCUGGCUCUUGCAUUGGCUAAUUCAACUUCAGAAAAUGGGAUUUCAUACUUCAUACUAUUGAAUUGCUUCCUUAGAACCAUUGAUUCGUCAUUGACUAAUUUCGAGAUUGUAUGAACAAAAUCCACCCAAGUAUCAAUAAUGCUAGAUGGUGCGAGUGGAGUGCUCUUCAUGGUGGGGUUUCUUGUUGCCUUUUUCAGGUCAUAUUAGUUCCUCUUUUCGCCAAGCCCGUUUUCUUUUUACAAGUUCCUAGGUUUUCUUUUACAGAUUCACUUUAUUCUCAGUAUAACCAGGAUACCAUUCACCAUCAUUUUUACAUCAGAAGAUGAUGAGUUUCUACCACCAUGGUAUUGAUUGUUAACUCUAUUUUGGAAGUUUUUAGUACUACAUGUUAUGUUGCAGUGUAUAAGUGUGAAUCCGGCCCACCAUGGUUUUAGAGGUUCGUUGUGGACUAUCUACGAUGGCUCAGAUCGAUGAAGCCUAUUUCGAAUCAAAGUUAUCGAAUUCUAGAAACAGAAGGAGGGUGGUGGUGGUAGUGGUGUGGAGUGUUGCAUUAUUAGGGCUUAUUGUGUGAAGAGAUAAGAUAGAUAAUCACAUAAUGGAGGAUCUUGGUGGUCCUGGUUGAAGAAAUGUGGUGAUGGUACAGGUUUUUAUUUGAAUGCAACUCAAAGUUUGGAGCAGUAUAUGUCGGCUCUGCAUGUGCUACUGCUUCUUUAAUGUUUGUAAAUUCUGUACCCUCUCAAUUUUUUGCUGUGAAAUUUCAUUUGAUAAAUCAAGUUUGGUACA